rnacentral:rRNA from 1 species
AUACGUAGGGGGCGAGCGUUGUCCGGAAUGAUUGGGCGUAAAGGGCGCGUAGGCGGCCGCUUAAGUCUGGAGUGAAAGUCCUGUUUUCAAGAUGGGAAUUGCUUUGGAUACUGGGGGGCUUGAGUGCAGGAGAGGUUAUCGGAAUUCCCGGUGUAGCGGUGAAAUGCGUAGAGAUCGGGAGGAACACCAGUGGCGAAGGCGGGUAACUGGACUGCAACUGACGCUGAGGCGCGAAAGUGUGGGGAGCAAACAGGAUUAGAUACCCUGGUAGUCCACACUGUAAACGAUGAAUGCUAGGUGUAGGGGGUAUCGACCCCUUCUGUGCCGCAGUCAACACAAUAAGCAUUCCGCCUGGGGAGUACGGCCGCAAGGUUGAAACUCAAAUGAAUUGACGGG